rnacentral:rRNA from 1 species
CCUACGGGUGGCAGCAGUGAGGAAUAUUGGUCAAUGGACGAGAGUCUGAACCAGCCAAGUAGCGUGAAGGAUGACUGCCCUAUGGGUUGUAAACUUCUUUUAUAAAGGAAUAAAACGAGGCACGUGUGCCUUUUUGCAUGUACUUUAUGAAUAAGGCUCGGCUAACUCCGUGCCAGCAGCCGCGGUAAUACGGAGGAUCCGAGCGUUAUCCGGAUUUAUUGGGUUUAAAGGGAGCGUAGAUGGGUUGUUAAGUCAGUUGUGAAAGUUUGCGGCUCAACCGUAAAAUUGCAAGUGAUACUGGCAGUCGUGAGUACAGUUGAGGUAGGCGGAAUUCGUGGUGUAGCGGUGAAAUGCUUAGAUAUCACGAAGAACCCCGAUUGCGAAGGCAGCUUACUAAACUGUGACUGACAUUGAUGCUCGAAAGUGUGGGUAUCAAACAGGAUUAGAUACCCGAGUAGUC